GUUUCUCAAUUUAUUGGCCUGCUUUUCCAUGCUUUUUACAUUCAACCUGUCAGUGUUCUUGUUCCUUUCUAUUUUCAUGCGGCACAAAUCCAGCUUCUUGAUUUUUGCUCUAAAACAGUGAACAAAAUGGGACUGAUUGCUUUAUCAGGAUCCAGCAGUGGGGUCUGUUAGCCAUGCAAGCACCUCAGUAAAGAGAAGAGUCCGGUUCCACUAGUUUUCUGCAUGGCUUCUUAAGGUUCUUAGCCUCAGCCGCACCAGGAUGGAGUGGAGCUACUCAGAAAAGCUACAUUGCUUCUGCAGGGAGAAAUGCCAGUCCUGCUGAGUAAGUUGUGCUGUGAUAACCAGCACAAGUCAAAGCAAAAGACAAUGGCAAAAGAGACAAUCUGUACAGUAAAUUGCAUCCUUUUGCAAGACUUGGUACAUCUAUAAGUGUGAAACGUGUUCAAAAGGGGAAUGUUUUCCACUGCCUGAAAAGAGACAAGCUCUGGAAGAGAGAACCCGAUUCUGUACUGUGAAUUAUUCUACACCUCCUCAAGAAGACAAAGUCACGGUAAUCUGAACUAGUGGAUUUUGGAACAUGAGGAAACAGUUGACCAUUGAAAUAAGUGUGCUGCUCCACCUGAAGUCUCACCACCAUCCUGCACAUGGUGAGGAUGUCAGCAGGUGGUGUUGAAAGUACUGGAGCACCUCUUCCAGAUGGCUGAUGAAUCAGAGCUCUUCAGUCUGAGCCAGGAACAGACUUGUGCUGCACCCAUGCCGAGAUUCUGGCAUGCAUUAAUGAUUUUGCCAUGGAAAGCAAGAAAACUUCCAUGGAUCAACAAAUGAAGUAUUAAGAAGGAUAUGAAACAAGUUCAUCCACAAGUAUGGAUCAUCAGAGCAUCUGCUUUGCUGUAGAGAUGUUUCUAAUAGCUUCCGUGAAUCUUCAUGCACUUAGAAUAUAACAAGCAUGGUGACUUGUAGGCUUGCUAGCUCUCCAGAUCAUUGAGCAACUCUGGUCUAUGAUGGAAUGACGACUCUUCUGACCGUUAACUUUUGCCUACAUGAAAACUCACCCAGUUUUUGCUGAUUUUCUGAUCCGUGAAAAAAAACAUGACCAGCUUUGCCAGAAUUCUUGUGUGUUUUUUUCUUAAGCCCUGGAGAAAUUUAUUUAA